GCUCUUCCGCUCUCGAAUGGCACUACUUUAGGGACAUUCUAGUAUUUGCUUCUAUUGUUUGGGCCUUGUGGAUAAUGUACAGAUUUAAAAACAAAUCUUGUUGCUGAUUUGUCCAUUUCUUUUCCUGCACUUUGUUACAUCUGGGAUACGGUCUAACUCAUCUGAUUUAAUAUGCAUU